UCUAGCUCAGUGGUCAACUGCAAGGCUUGCCUUGCGACUGUCCCGAAUUCGAUCCUCAAGAGUACCAGCCUGUCAUCCCCGCGUUGCUUUACCUGUCUACUGGGCUUGCAGGAUGUUCAAUGAGCCCGGGGAUUAGUUGUGGUACGCGUAAACUGGCCCGGACACCCCGGGUUACAAAAAAAAAAAAAAACCUUUUUAUAGGACUUGGACUUGUUUCUUCUUUUAUAUAUGGUAUCUAAAAAAACUAUUAAAAUUCAA
rnacentral:lncRNA from 1 species